CGGAGGGUGCGAGCGUUGUCCGGAAUCACUGGGCGUAAAGGGCGCGUAGGCGGCCUGGUAAGUAGGGGGUGGAAAUCCUGCGGCUUAACCGCAGGGCUGCCUUCUAAACUGUCAGGCUCGAGCACGGUAGAGGCAGAUGGAAUUCCCGGUGUAGCGGUGGAAUGCGUAGAGAUCGGGAAGAACAUCAGUGGCGAAGGCGGUCUGCUGGGCCGUUGCUGACGCUGAGGCGCGACAGCGUGGGGAGCAAACAGGAUUAGAUACCCUGGUAGUCCACGCCGUAAACGAUGGGCACUAGGCGUCGGGGGGAGCGACCCUCCCGGUGCCGUCGCUAACGCAGUAAGUGCCCCGCCUGGGGAGUACGGCCGCAAGGCUG
rnacentral:rRNA from 1 species